rnacentral:lncRNA from 1 species
UGACUCAAUUGUUUUUGUAUGGUUCCCAGUUCCUGUCGACUCUGCUCAAUUUUAAGUGUAAUUGUUUUGAGUUCCUUGCUAUUGAGUGUCUUCAAAGGAGUCUUCAGGGCUUUGAGUCUGUCCCAUAUUUAUCUCAUGGUAUCUGUCUUCCCCUCCUGCCAAACUGUUGUCACAAUAUGUUGGAAAUCUCUGUGUUCAGCCCAUACAUUGAAGAAUUUGAAGUGCCUCUUUCCUUGCCAGGUUGGAUAGUUUCAAUGUUAGUAUCAUUGGGUUAUGAUCUGAAAUUAGGGGUACAUCA